ACGCUGGCGGCAGGCCUAACACAUGCAAGUCGAGCGGUAGAGAGAAGCUUGCUUCUCUUGAGAGCGGCGGACGGGUGAGUAAUGCCUAGGAAUCUGCCUGGUAGUGGGGGAUAACGUUCGGAAACGGACGCUAAUACCGCAUACGUCCUACGGGAGAAAGCAGGGGACCUUCGGGCCUUGCGCUAUCAGAUGAGCCUAGGUCGGAUUAGCUAGUUGGUGGGGUAAUGGCUCACCAAGGCGACGAUCCGUAACUGGUCUGAGAGGAUGAUCAGUCACACUGGAACUGAGACACGGUCCAGACUCCUACGGGAGGCAGCAGUGGGGAAUAUUGGACAAUGGGCGAAAGCCUGAUCCAGCCAUGCCGCGUGUGUGAAGAAGGUCUUCGGAUUGUAAAGCACUUUAAGUUGGGAGGAAGGGUUGUAGAUUAAUACUCUGCAAUUUUGACGUUACCGACAGAAUAAGCACCGGCUAACUCUGUGCCAGCAGCCGCGGUAAUACAGAGGGUGCAAGCGUUAAUCGGAAUUACUGGGCGUAAAGCGCGCGUAGGUGGUUUGUUAAGUUGGAUGUGAAAUCCCCGGGCUCAACCUGGGAGCUGCAUUCAAAACUGACUGACUAGAGUAUGGUAGAGGGUGGUGGAAUUUCCUGUGUAGCGGUGAAAUGCGUAGAUAUAGGAAGGAACACCAGUGGCGAAGGCGACCACCUGGACUAAUACUGACACUGAGGUGCGAAAGCGUGGGGAGCAAAC
rnacentral:rRNA from 1 species